AGGACAUGGACUGGGGGAGUUUGCCCAAGAAAGGGAAGCCACAGGCGGUGAAUACACAGGUCUCGGAGCAUUCCUAGUCUCCGAUUGCGAUUCGUCCAUAGGUGAUGGUUUACACGGUUGUUCUAACGAUUCGAUUCAGCUUCUUUGCGAGUGAUUGCAUUGGGAACUGGGACCAAAUGCCUGGGAGGUUCUCAACGCAGCCUGGCUAGCGACACAAUCAGCCAUGCCGAAGUGAUCGCUAGGAGAACACUGCUAUCCCGUUGUUCUUCAUGUAUAUUGCAGGGGUUUCUACGGGUUUUUUUUGUAGAUGAGGGCGCUCCAAGGUUUUCAAGAGGGAUGAUAAUGGCAAACUGCGCACCUUGUUCUUCCAUACUAUCUUCGAUCAUCCGGUUCUUUCUACUUGAUAGGUGGAGACGCAUGCAUCUUAGGAGUUGAUCCUGGGGCCGGAGAAGACGAUCACAGUGUUUUUUGCUGCACGACGGGGGCAAAGCUGGUGUCUACACAAGUUCACUCGGAACAAAGCCUGCAGACAACGGGCAUGCUUAGGCGAAAGCCUGGCCGGGGAGAUGCCACUUUCUCUAUGAGUUGUAGCGACAAGAUCGAGUUCAAGGAGCUCUCUUGUCCCUGUUCCUCAACGAACCAGUAUACAUCUCGGCGAUUACUGUUGCUAGGAGCACGAAAGCAUCGUGUGCUCGGUGGCACGGAAGCUAGAAGCUCCUUACAGACUCAACCAGGUAAGACUUUGUGAAAUGCUUUUGUAAUCCUCGUAUGCAGCCAGUGAUUUGGCUGGCACCAACACCUCCGGAGGAUUACAUGCUCUAUCCAAGUGGAUUGCCUGCGGGUUUGGCUUUCACUCCGAGGCAGUAUAUGUGAUGCUAUCGUUCCCUGUUUAGAUAUUCGAUCAGCUGGGACACGUCCGGCCCCACUAGGUUGUGAUUAGAACAACGGGAAGGAAGCAAGGCACUGCGGGCAAAGGAGCGUUGUUGCCAGCUACAGAAUCAAAGCUCAACAGGAAGUCACUGGGGAGAUCAUUUAGACACCUGUUGACGCAUUUCUUCCCUGGCUUGGCUUGCAGCAACUACUUGGAGUGCAAAGUAAAGCAUCUUAGUCUUCUGACUCACAGCUUCUUAACUUUCUCUUUCUUUUUUAUUUUCUUGAAAGAGAUUCUUUUAGAUGGCUAAG